rnacentral:rRNA from 1 species
CCUACGGGUGGCAGCAGUGGGGAAUAUUGCACAAUGGGGGAAACCCUGAUGCAGCAACGCCGCGUGGGUGAAGGAGCGUUUCGGCGCGUAAAGCCCUGUCAGCGGGGAAGAAGAAUGACGGUACCUGACUAAGAAGCCCCGGCUAACUACGUGCCAGCAGCCGCGGUAAUACGUAGGGGGCAAGCGUUAUCCGGAUUUACUGGGUGUAAAGGGAGCGUAGACGGCGAUGCAAGUCUGAAGUGAAAGGCGGGGGCCCAACCUCCGGACUGCUUUGGAAACUGUAUGGCUGGAGUGCAGGAGAGGUAAGGGGAAUUCCUAGUGUAGCGGUGAAAUGCGUAGAUAUUAGGAGGAACACCAGUGGCGAAGGCGGCUUACUGGACUGUAACUGACGUUGAGGCUCGAAAGCGUGGGGAGCAAACAGGAUUAGAUACCCCGGUAAGUC